rnacentral:rRNA from 1 species
UGUAGGUCCCGAGCGUUGUCCGGAUUUAUUGGGCGUAAAGCGAGCGCAGGCGGUUUGAUAAGUCUGAAGUUAAAGGCUGUGGCUCAACCAUAGUUCGCUUUGGAAACUGUCAAACUUGAGUGCAGAAGGGGAGAGUGGAAUUCCAUGUGUAGCGGUGAAAUGCGUAGAUAUAUGGAGGAACACCGGUGGCGAAAGCGGCUCUCUGGUCUGUAACUGACGCUGAGGCUCGAAAGCGUGGGGAGCGAACAGGAUUAGAUACCCUGGUAGUCCACGCCGUAAACGAUGAGUGCUAGGUGUUGGAUCCUUUCCGGGAUUCAGUGCCGAAGCUAACGCAUUAAGCACUCCGCCUGGGGAGUACGACCGCAAGGUUG